CGAGUCGGCCGGGCGGCCGCGGCGGUCGGAACGGCCCAGAUCUCUGGGUGCGCCGCCCGCCGAGGAAAGUCCGGACUCCACAGAGCAGGGUGGUUGUCAACGGCAACCCGGGGUGACCCGCGGGACAGUGCCACAGAGAACAGACCGCCGCCCCGAUCCGUCGGGACGGUAAGGGUGAAACGGUGCGGUAAGAGCGCACCAGCGACACGGGUGACCGCGUCGGCUAGGUAAACCCCACCCGGAGCAAGGCCGAAGCUCGCACCCCGGGUAACCGGGAGUGCGGGUGCGCGGGUGUUCGAGGGCUGCUCGCCCGAGCCCGCGGGUGGGCCGCUCGAGGUACCCGGCGACGGAGUGCCCAGAUGGAUGGUCGCCGCCCGCCUCGUGGUGAGAACCGCGAGACCGGGCACAGGAUCCGGCUUACACGCCGGCUCGUUCG
rnacentral:RNase_P_RNA from 1 species